rnacentral:misc_RNA from 1 species
AUAGAAAAUGUAGAGGAGGAAGAAGAAGGAGAUCAGGAGGAGAAUCCACAGCGACCCAUAUAUCUGCUGGACUGUAAGGAGCAUGUCUGGUCUGUAGCAUUUGGGGCAAGCCAGAGCCUACAGGACAACACCCAGUCAUGGAAAAGAUUGAAAAGCAAUAACUGUACUCUGCUGGCUACAGGGCUACAUUCGGGCAAGAUCAAGCUAUGGGACUGUAGCACAGGUAACCUGCUCAUAGAGCUUUUGGAUCACAAGGAUGUGGUUCGUGGAAUUAGCUUCACUCAAGAUGGUAGUCUGUUGAUGGCGUCGGCAGCCCGGGAUGGUACGGUGAAGCUUUGGGACCUGAAGGAUGAUGGCAACAUGUACUGUACCCUCAGAACAGGCGCCAAGUGGAACAACAGCUGUAAAUGGUCUCGCGACUGUAAAUAUUUGGCUGCAGUUGGAAGUAAUAAAAUGGCUGUGAUUUGGAAAAUGGAUGAAACCAAUAAAUCUAGGCAGCUGAGGGGUCACUUCCAUGACAUCCAGUCAUGUGACUUCUCUCCAGAUAGUGCUUUGUUUGCGACUGCCUGUUAUGAUACUCGGGUGAUCAUUUGGGAUCCAUACACUGGCGAUAUGUUGUUGGAAUUGGGGCACCUGUACCCGCCACCUCGCCCUAUAUUCGCCGGUGGGGCCAAUGACCACUAUGUGCGCAGUGUGUCCUUCAGCAAGGAUGGAUUACAUGUGUGUUCUGUGGCAGAUGAUGGGUACCUGCGUGUUUGGGAUCUGGAAGAUUCUUGUGACCCACAAUACAUUGCUGAACAUCAGAAUGCUUUAUGUUGUUCAUUCUCCCCCCAGGAUCAUCGAAUCUCAGUGGGAAAUCGAACGGGAGGAGUUGUCUUCUAUGCAAUGCCUCGAUGCGUUCCUGCUCUGCAACAGCUGUGUCGAGUGACCAUCAGAAAACAAGUUAUUUCAACCAAAGUAGAUCAUUUGCAUCUCCCCGUGCGGCUGAAGGAGUUUCUCAAGUAUCAUGAUCUGUGAUUUACGUGAGAUUUCCCAAAAACUUUAAUUUCACUCACUCUAUUUGAUGAUACAUGUAUAUAAACCAAAUAUGGAAUUUUUCUUGAAUGCAUUUUGUGCUUGAAUCUGUAUGAAAUCCCUUCUACUUUGAGAGGGAAUUCUGUUUAUUAACCUUUUGUUACUGUUUGUUCUUGAACGGCAAGUCUUUCUUUAGUUAUGUGAUGGUUUUUUUACUUGCAUAUGUAUUUAUCAUUUGAAAAAUUUAGAUGCUAAAGACAUUUGACAAGAAAUAGUAAGGUUAUUUUGAUUAUGUUAACAAUUCAUAUUUGUUCACUUGUAAAUCAUAGUAUUUGGUGGAGGACAAAAUCUUCAGAAACUCAAAGGUUUACCUCAAAUUUAGAUCAUCUUGAGUGUUGUGUUCUUUGAAAAGAAUUUCAAUCCUCCUUUUCUUGUGUGCCUUAUUUGAUCCAUAUAUUAUAUGACUGUUCAUUUGUAUAAAUGUAUUUAUAAUGUUAUCAUGUUGAUUAAUAAAACACAGUGAUUGAU